AUGUUUUUGUGUGCAAUUACUUCAGAUGGUUUUUUAUAUGCAAUACACCAAGGUUUUGAAGACACAUCAAAAGAAAAAAUGGCAUUACAUAAAUAUUUAAUGACAGUUCCAGAAGAUCUUCUGGAAAAAGAGGCUGCUGCUUUAAUGGCUGAAUAUGGACAAGCAGAUGAGAAAACAGCAAAACAAAGGGCUUUGGCUGCAAAGCUAGAAGCAAAUGUUAAAGACCUGAAAGCUGUUUAUGAUAAGGAGAAAUCGAAAAAAAAAUAUGCUGAACCAGGAACACUAAGCAAAAGAAAAAUGAUCUCUGAGCCAGUCAGUCAGCAACAGGCCGUGAAACCAUCAUUGUCUGGGCUGCGAAUACAAAUCCUCAAAGCACCUAUGAUUGAGAAAGGCAGAACUGGCAGUGCUUCUCCAUAUCACAGAAAAUCAGAAAUGGAAGUCGAUACUUCAGUCCAGGAAGAGCAGGACAUUUCUUCACAAAGGGAGAUCAAAUUAGCAUAUAAAAGGCAAGCUACACCAGAGGAGAGCAGAAAAUCAUCGCUGCAAUAUCAAGAAAUUAAAAGCUUUUUGCCACAAUUGCCUGGCCUUUCAGAUUUUGAAAGAAAUGCAGGGAGACAGAGUGUGGAUAUUGCUCUGCAAGAAAUACUCAAUUUAAACAAGAUUUUGGGACAGAAAAUAAAUCUUCAACAAGCACUGCAAAUUGCUCAGCAACAGUUACAACAACAGCAACCUUAUAGCCAGGCUGAAAGGAUCAGAAAGCUAUCAUUGACUCCCCAACUUCCUGGCACAACUAGAUUCCAUGAGUAUCCUUCGCAGCCCUCAAGACCAGUGUGGGAAGCAAGCCAAUUACCUCAAAAGGACUAUGCCCACAAGCUGAAUCUGUUAAAAAGAAAGAUGUUGGGACCAGAAGUGAAAGCUCAGACCUGCUGGAGCCUCAUCAAUUCUCAAACAGAGCAUGAGAUCAAAUUACUAUAUAAAAGGGAAGGUACGCCAGAGGAGAGUAAAGAAUCAUUGUUGCAAUAUUCAGGAAAUAAAACAUUUUUUCCACAAAUACCUGGCCUUGCGUCUUCUGGCAGAAGUCCAGAGAGACCGAACGUGGAUAUUGCUCUGCAAGAAAUACUCAAUUUUAACAUGAUGUUACGACAGAAAGCAAAACUUCAAAAAGCAUUGGAACGGUUGCAACAACAACAGCAAAAUUAUAUUCUAGCUGAAAGAAUCAGAAAGCUAUCAUUAUUAUCUCCCCAACCUCCUGGCACAGCUAGAUUCCAUGAGUAUCCUACGCAGCCGACAAGACCAGGUAACCUAAGAAAUUUUGCUUUUACAAUAAAGAAGGGGUCAUAUUCAUACUACAGAACAUUAAGAGUUGCAAUUAAUCUAGAAAUAAUUAUUCCUAAUGGAUAA
rnacentral:lncRNA from 1 species